GAAAUGCGAUAAGUAAUGUGAAUUGCAGAAUUCAGUGAAUCAUCGAAUCUUUGAACGCACAUUGCGCCCCUCGGUAUUCCGACGGGCAUGCCUGUCCGAGCGUCGUUUGCAACGCAUCGAGUCACAUCUCGGUUUUGGGCGCCGUCCCCCCCCCUCUCGCGGGAGGAUGCGCCCCAAAGCCCUCGGCGGCCUCGGGUGCCCGCCGGAGCGUCUUCGAAAGUAAUCGCUCCGCGCGCGUGCCCCCGGGAUCCAGCCCCGACGGCGAGCGGUCCACGAGCCGCGCGCACGAAACACAAAAAGGUUUGACCUCGGAUCAGGUAGGGCUACCCGCUGAACUUAAGC
rnacentral:misc_RNA from 1 species